rnacentral:tRNA from 2 species
GGGCUCGUAGCUCAGCUAGGCAGAGCACCGGGCUUUUAACCCGAUGGCCGAGGGUUCAAAUCCCUUCGAGCCCG